rnacentral:rRNA from 1 species
AUGAUGAUUGAUCUGAAUGAACCACCGCUUGACGUAGAGUCCAUCAACAUUUCAGUCGAGUUGGGUGCACCCUUCUUGCAUGCAGGGGGUGAACAGGAACAUCAACAAUUGGAGGAGGAGGUUGGUGAGUCUCCUGACCCCAAUGUUGGAUCUAACACUACUCAUCUCCCGGACAAUCGUGUUGCCUCUCCCCCACCUAUGGUUGCUCCUACUAAUGCUUUAGUUCAUGAGGCACAUGAGUUGGAAGAUGAAGAAGCUGGAUCACAGCCACAACAACCUUGUGUUGGCAUGCGCUUCGACACAUUAGAGGAUGUGAGGGAACACUACAAUCGCUAUGCUUUGAUGGAGGGCUUUUCAAUCAAGUCAAAUACGUCUUACAGGUCGGCCUACACAGGUGUGGUGGAAAAACAGCAAUUCUGCUGUAACAAGUUCCGCAAACCAGUAGAGAGGGUUGGGAUCCCGGGUGUUCCCUCAUCGAGCAAAAACACUACAUGUCCAAGCUCACCUGAACAAGAUGUUGAAGAUGAUGUCGAGGAACACACUUUCAAGAAGAAGAGGAAACGGGAAACUGUGAAGCAAACAAAAUGUCGUGCUUAA